UGUCUAACCACAGAACAGCCUAAUGAACAGCUGUAGGUCAGGUGUCUAACCACAGAACAGCCUAAUGAACAGCUGUAGGUCAGGUGUCUAACCACAGAACAGCCUAAUGAACAGCUGUAGGUCAGGUGUCUAACCACAGAACAGCCUAAUGAACAGCUGUAGGUCAGGUGUCUAACCACAGAACAGCCUAAUGAACAGCUGUAGGUCAGGUGUCUAACCACAGAACAGCCUAAUGAACAGCUGUAGGUCAGGUGUCUAACCACAGAACAGCCUAAUGAACAGCUGUAGGUCAGGUGUCUAACCACAGAACAGCCUAAUGAACAGCUGUAGGUCAGGUGUCUAACCACAGAACAGCCUAAUGAACAGCUGUAGGUCAGGUGUCUAACCACAGAACAGCCUAAUGAACAGCUGUAGGUCAGGUGUCUAACCACAGAACAGCCUAAUGAACAGCUGUAGGUCAGGUGUCUAACCACAGAACAGCCUAAUGAACAGCUGUAGGUCAGGUGUCUAACCACAGAACAGCCUAAUGAACAGCUGUAGGUCAGGUGUCUAACCACAGAACAGCCUAAUGAACAGCUGUAGGUCAGGUGUCUAACCACAGAGCAGCCUAAUGAACAGCUGUAGGUCAGGUGUCUAACCACAGAACAGCCUAAUGAACAGCUGUAGGUCAGGUGUCUAACCACAGAACAAGGGGCACGGCAGUAGUAACAGACAGCAGUAGUAACAGACAGCAGUAGUAACAGA